rnacentral:rRNA from 1 species
GAUGAACGCUGGCGGCGUGCCUAAUACAUGCAAGUCGAGCGAACAGACGAGGAGCUUGCUCCUCUGACGUUAGCGGCGGACGGGUGAGUAACACGUGGAUAACCUACCUAUAAGACUGGGAUAACUUCGGGAACCCGGAGCUAAUACCGGAUACUAUAUUUAACCGCAUGGUUCAAUAGUGAAAGACGGUUUUGCUGUCACUUAUAGAUGGAUCCGCGCCGCAUUAGCUAGUUGGUAAGGUAACGGCUUACCAAGGCCACGAUGCGUAGCCGACCUGAGAGGGUGAUCGGCCACACUGGAACUGAGACACGGUCCAGACUCCUACGGGAGGCAGCAGUAGGGAAUCUUCCGCAAUGGGCGAAAGCCUGACGGAGCAACGCCGCGUGAGUGAUGAAGGUCUUCGGAUCGUAAAACUCUGUUAUUAGGGAAGAACAAAUGUGUAAGUAACUAUGCACGUCUUGACGGUACCUAAUCAGAAAGCCACGGCUAACUACGUG